rnacentral:rRNA from 1 species
ACGAACGCUGGCGGCGUGCCUAAUACCUGCAAGUAGAACGCUGAAGGAGGAGCUUGCUUCUCUGGAUGAGUUGCGAACGGGUGAGUAACGCGUAGGUAACCUGCCUGGUAGCGGGGGAUAACUAUUGGAAACGAUAGCUAAUACCGCAUAAUAGUAGAUGUUGCAUGACAUUUGCUUAAAAGGUGCAAUUGCAUCACUACCAGAUGGACCUGCGUUGUAUUAGCUAGUUGGUGAGGUAACGGCUCACCAAGGCAACGAUACAUAGCCGACCUGAGAGGGUGAUCGGCCACACUGGGACUGAGACACGGCCCAGACUCCUACGGGAGGCAGCAGUAGGGAAUCUUCGGCAAUGGACGGAAGUCUGACCGAGCAACGCCGCGUGAGUGAAGAAGGUUUUCGGAUCGUAAGCUCUGUUGUAAGAGAAGAACGAGUGUGAGAGUGGAAAGUUCACACUGUGACGGUAUCUUACCAGAAAGGGACGGCUAACUACGUG